GACGAACGCUGGCGGCGUGCUUAACACAUGCAAGUCGAACGGAAAGGCCCUGCUUUUGUGGGGUGCUCGAGUGGCGAACGGGUGAGUAACACGUGAGUAACCUGCCCUUGACUUUGGGAUAACUUCAGGAAACUGGGGCUAAUACCGGAUAGGAGCUCCUGCUGCAUGGUGGGGGUUGGAAAGUUUCGGCGGUUGGGGAUGGACUCGCGGCUUAUCAGCUUGUUGGUGGGGUAGUGGCUUACCAAGGAUUUGACGGGUAGCCGGCCUGAGAGGGUGACCGGCCACAUUGGGACUGAGAUACGGCCCAGACUCCUACGGGAGGCAGCAGUGGGGAAUAUUGCACAAUGGGCGGAAGCCUGAUGCAGCAACGCCGCGUGCGGGAUGACGGCCUUCGGGUUGUAAACCGCUUUCGCCUGUGACGAAGCGUGAGUGACGGUAAUGGGUAAAGAAGCACCGGCUAACUACGUG
rnacentral:rRNA from 1 species